rnacentral:rRNA from 1 species
GACGAACGCUGGCGGCGUGCUUAACACAUGCAAGUCGAACGGAAAGGCCCUGCUUUUGUGGGGUGCUCGAGUGGCGAACGGGUGAGUAACACGUGAGUAACCUGCCCUUGACUUUGGGAUAACUUCAGGAAACUGGGGCUAAUACCGGAUAGGAGCUCCUGCUGCGUGGUGGGGGUUGGAAAGUUUCGGCGGUUGGGGAUGGACUCGCGGCUUAUCAGCUUGUUGGUGGGGUAGUGGCUUACCAAGGCUUUGACGGGUAGCCGGCCUGGGAGGGUGACCGGCCACAUUGGGACUGAGAUACGGCCCAGACUCCUACGGGAGGCAGCAGUGGGGAAUAUUGCACAAUGGGCGGAAGCCUGAUGCAGCAACGCCGCGUGCGGGAUGACGGCCUUCGGGUUGUAAACCGCUUGCGCCUGUGACGAAGCGUGAGUGACGGUAAUGGGUAAAGAAGCACCGGCUAACUACGUGCCAGCAGCCGCGGUGAUACGUAGGGUGCGAGCGUUGUCCGGAUUUAUUGGGCGUAAAGGGCUCGUAGGUGGUUGAUCGCGUCGGAAGUGUAAUCUUGGGGCUUAACCCUGAGCGUGCUUUCGAUACGGGUUGACUUGAGGAAGGUAGGGGAGAAUGGAAUUCCUGGUGGAGCGGUGGAAUGCGCAGAUAUCAGGAGGAACACCAGUGGCGAAGGCGGUUCUCUGGGCCUUUCCUGACGCUGAGGAGCGAAAGCGUGGGGAGCGAACAGGCUUAGAUACCCUGGUAGUCCACGCUGUAAACGGUGGGUACUAGGUGUGGGGUCCAUUCCACGGGUUCCGUGCCGUAGCUAACGCUUUAAGUACCCCGCCUGGGGAGUACGGCCGCAAGGCUAAAACUCAAAGGAAUUGACGGGGCCCCGCACAAGCGGCGGAGCAUGCGGAUUAAUUCGAUGCAACGCGUAGAACCUUACCUGGGUUUGACAUGGAUCGGGAGUGCUCAGAGAUGGGUGUGCCUCUUUUGGGGUCGGUUCACAGGUGGUGCAUGGCUGUCGUCAGCUCGUGUCGUGAGAUGUUGGGUUAAGUCCCGCAACGAGCGCAACCCUUGUUCACUGUUGCCAGCACGUUAUGGUGGGGACUCAGUGGAGACCGCCGGGGUCAACUCGGAGGAAGGUGGGGAUGACGUCAAGUCAUCAUGCCCCUUAUGUCCAGGGCUUCACGCAUGCUACAAUGGCUGGUACAGAGAGUGGCGAGCCUGUGAGGGUGAGCGAAUCUCGGAAAGCCGGUCUCAGUUCGGAUUGGGGUCUGCAACUCGACCUCAUGAAGUCGGAGUCGCUAGUAAUCGCAGAUCAGCAACGCUGCGGUGAAUACGUUCCCGGGGCU